UCUGGUGACUCCUGCAAGCCCUGGAGGAAAGGGGGGAAAGGAAGAGGAUUUCAAGGCAUCCCUUUCUGGAAAAAGCAUGAGUCAGAGGAGAAGGAGCUAAACCCAGGACUUCAGGGAGGGUGUCAGUGCUUCUGUGGGAGCGGGAGAAAUGCUUGGGGCAGAGGACAGGUGCUGGUGCCAUGUGGACGAAGACUCCCUCCCCAAAGAAUGGGCAGAGGUGGUGGCUGGGGAGUGGCGGAGCAGCUCCUGGGUACAGCAGCCCUGGGGGGAUGUGCCACGGGAGGAAGGGUGAUAUCCUUUGUGGUCACAGUAAGGAAAACACCAUUCCUGAUGGCCAGGAUGAGAUGGGCAUGUUGCAAGUGCCCCAAGCAAAAUCAGCCAGGGAAGGGAAGAAAGGGAGGUAGCCAGACAAAGGCAAAUAAAAUCAGGGAGGGAGGUUUCUCCUUUAUCCCAAGAGUCAAAGCAAACCACGUGUGUAUUAGUACAUGUGUACAUAUUUAGGUGCACACACGCUCACUCUCCUAUGCACCCAAUGUCCUAAAUUCAAAGGUAGUUUGUUCAUUUCUCUUUAUUCUUCUAGGAUUCAGACAGCAAAAAACCCAAUAAUUGAGAAGCUUCUGCUCAGUACGACUGCCAAGCAGACAUCAGGUUGGCUGCAGCACUGUUUGGUGUGGAUAUGGCUCUCCAGUGAUUCAUAACCAGCCCAAUGAGAGCAGGGUUCAUCGGUGCCCCAACCAACAAAAACACAACUGCAAUGUUUUCAGUUCUUUCCCUUCUCCUUUAAAGAGAAAUACACACACACGCAGAGGAGAAACAGAGCUAGAGAAUGCUUUCUAACCUGGUACAGCAUAUUACACUAAUUUGGGGAUGCUGUUACUCAUGCAUCAUUCAUGACCCUGCCAAAACCGGGAACAAACAGUCCCUACAAUCUUGAUCGGACUGUCUGAGCUGAGCUUUGUAGAGUUUUCCAAUCUGAAAGAGCCCAAAUAGGAAACAUCCUUCCCCACUGCUAGCUCCUGUAAUUGGCAGCAUAGCAGGCAGUGUCCUUACCCUGAUCUGCUUCUCUAUUGAUAUUUUUGUCCAGCAGUGACUGCAGGGCAGGUGAAGGGAUCUGCAAAUGUCAUGUGCUGUCAUCUUUCCACUGGGUUGCAUCUGAGACCUCAAAGGCUCUGUGUUGGGUCAGCUUUCCCCAUGGUGGCAAAGUCCCUGGAAACAAAGAGGAAGUUGAACACGGACAUCACCUCUGCCCUGGAGUCACAUGCUGAACCCUGGGGACCACCACACACCCUUCAGGUACCAUCAGUUACAUCCCUUCUGCUGUGAUGCAUCACUGGCCCUCACACCAGGGAGCUGCAGACAUGUGGAAGCCACGGCUGCUCAGAUGAAGGCCUCUGAUAAUUAUCCACCCUCCCACUUCCCUGCUGCAUGGACCAGAUAGCUGCAAGCCAAGGCCAUUACUCAGCGUAUCAUCAGUUUUUCCCCUUGAAGCCAUUGAAAACCAAGAGCCCCACUUCACACAAUGCUUUUGGUAUCAGUGGAGUCCUCCUUGCCACACAUCAAGCAACCCUGCAGCAGCAUGGCAGCUCUGCAUCCUGACACAAUCAAGUGUGAAGGUGAAGGGACAUCAAGAAAAGCAAGCUGCACGUUCCUCCCCCUUGGCUCGCCUCUCCCAGCGCUGCAAGACACAGAAGUUGAAAGUUAAGCUUUUGAGUUACCAGCAAUUUCCACUUUGGUGCAUUAUUGACUUUGCUGCAGCGCUUUUAUAAGCCUGUUUAUAAGACAAUAGACAAUGGGAGAAGUUGCUGAGGCUCCCAGUGGACAUAUGUUGACAAUAAACCCCUGUAACAGAGGUCAAAUGUGUGUUCCCAGAAUAGCAGAGGGUAACUUGCUGCCUGAGGAGCGUCACACUGCAAACGAACUGAUACAGAAGAGAAGUCUGAUUGUUUGAGCCACUGAGUCAGCUUGGCCCAAGAAGACUAAUUUUCCAGGAGAUCUGAUCUCUCUAUUUGCUGCAAGGAUGUGACAACAUAUCUCUCCCAUUGGUAAUGCUUAUGUGUAUGCAAAGGUCCCUGUAGUCAUAGAUAUAAAGCUGUUUGAAACUAUUUGGAGUGUAGAGGCAGCAGCACCCUGAAUGUCAUGUUCUUGACCAGGUGCCCCCGUUGGUGGAAAGCCUCUCUCCAAGUGAGACACGAGAGUGAAUCAGACAACAGUUUCAUGUGGGUGGGAUGGCUCUGCACAGUAUUGGGGGAGUGAAGAAAAUACAAAAUGCCGUGUCCUAUUUUUAAGAAGUUGUAACUUCGCUUUACUUUUCCCCCUUGUAU